CCUCUCAACUAUCACGCGAUAGAAAUCUCGAGCUCAUAAUCUAAUUGUUUAUUAGUAUAAUUUCAGAGCUGAACAAAAAGUUUCCAGCAAUCUAAUUGGUUGAACGAUUCCUUAUAUGACGCUAUAUUCACCGCACCAGAACAAAGGAGACUUUUGUCUGAUUGCCUGAUUUGUUACCCUGGUACUCAGGCUCUUACUAAGCGCGCGCUGUCGAAAUCUUAAAAACAAAGAUGGCGUCCGAAAGAGCGAUUUCACCGUUGACUUUGCUUCAUCGCUUGUUCUAGAGUUUUAGGCAAAUGUUGCAGUUUUCUUGCUUUGUCCUCUUUUUCAUAAUGGUAGGAAAAUGUAGGGCGGGAAAGCUCAAACUUCUCACGGGUUACCGUUUUCGAUUUUACUGGCGAACAACUGUUUUCCUCGUGGCUUUGCAGGCCGGAAAAAUGUUCCGCAAGAAGUGCAAAAAACGCAAAUGUAAAGUUUAGAGAAGGGGUAGUGUGUAGAAAGUGCUGCUGUAAGUUAAUUAACAAGAGUGCAAGGGUGUUACAGUAAAAAAGGAGUUUGUUGUGUCUUUUUAAUUAAUUCAAUACAUGUAUCGAUCUGUAAAAACUUACUUUGAUUGGCUUCCUUGGAAAUCAAUGUGAUAUUCUUGUAAAAAUUGCGUUCUCCACUCUGAAUCUUGCUCUGUUUUUAUGAGCAUUUGCAAGAUAGGGAAGUUAUAUAAAAAAUGGCAUUGACAUAUACGCAUAAAGUGAGCUUUUGAACUAACCAGUUUCAAGCAUCCUUCAUACCUUUCAUCAUCUCAAUGACCCAAUGACAAAAGUAGGAAUGGCCGUGUAGAGAAAUCUUUUAUCUGCCUCAUGACAAUUGACUGGCAAAGAAAUGUUUAUUUUACUCAUUCAAUAUUUCUGCACCACUUCUGGUUUCCCACAUAACUUUGAAGAAGUCAAUGCCUAAGGAGAAACUGUUGAGGAUCUUUAUUACCUUAGUUUCUUUGUACAAAUGAGUUUCCAUAUGUCAUGCUUAAUUUAAUUUUGUUGCCAGUGCACGUACUCUAAAACAGCUGCAUCAGCAAGAAAACAAUGGCAAAAGACGUUUUUCUCACUGUCACAGCCUCUAAACUAGAUACAAAGUUAUGAAUACCGUAAACUUUCUUCAAGUCGUAAGUUUAUGUAAGAUACUCGAAAAUGGUUCGUGACAAACUGAUGUCACGCUAUGGUCGAAAGAAGCAAAUUUUGGUCGUGGAAGAUUUCUCUUCGAGGUGAAUUUUGGGCAACCGGGACACCGGAAACAUCCUCAUUUCUUUACGUUAAACUGUAGCAGAGUAAGUGUAGUUUCACUAGUUAAAGCCGAUUCCCAUAUCACAAAUUAGUUUUUCGGAUAUUCACAAAAACGCCAGCUCAAUCAAGACGGACCAACCGAUAAAACAGCGUUGCCAGGGAGUAUCGUGAAAUCAAAUGCAGGGAUAUUUUGUUUGAUAAGGUUUAUAACAACAAGGGUUGGCUGGAGUAAACUUUCACUCAACUUAAAUCAAAUGAAUGCUUUUCUUCAACAGUAUAAAACCAUGCCGCUCAUUUUAAGAGCUGUAAAACGCGAAUCGUUAUAAACUGAAUUUCUAGAAUCUAAUUCCGACCUCAAAUCACUCACCCGACUAAUAGUAAACAGAGGAACACCGGAAACAGGGUACCAAAUUUUGCCAGGGCAUAGUGCACAUUAAACAGUCACCCAUUAAUGGAAUUCACAUGUCACGAAGGAGUACAAAAGUCUCAGAGGUUUGAAGACAAAUUUUAAUUUUGAAUUAAACAAAAAUUUCAUUUAUCGAUCACAACAUUCACUUCACUUGAAAAUGAAAUGGUUUAACUCAAAAACACAAAGGUACCCAGAAUAUGAAAAACAACUUCAUAGCAAUGCUGGACUCGAAUUUAGUGAAGGACUGACGAAAAAAGAAAUGGUCAGAUUUUCUUGUUUAACCACACUUUGAAACCGAAAAUGAGAACAACAUGGUUUUCUCAUCUCCGCAAGAUGAGACGAAUAAAAAUCUAAAAUAUAAACUCAAGGAACCAGUAAUACUUUUACUUACCACAGUAGCCAUGUUCCUUUUGGUUGGCGUCGAAUAAGACCUGUGGUACUCUUCAAAGCACUGCAAAAGUGAAUCAACGCUUGCUUUGCUUCAUCUUUGUUCCAAGGAAAUCGCCAUCUUUGUCGGUGACAUAUGUGAACGAAAAGCAGUUUAUCGACCCUAAAAUUGCCAUAAGCGAAAUGAAACGGGCAGUUUUCUCUUCACUUUAAAUUGCUUUUCACGGUAACAUGCCUUACAUGAUUCACUGAGGACCAAUUAAAGAAUGAUUCUCCUUCGAAAGUUCGGUUGUCAAAUUUAGCAGCACCGAAAACCGCGUGUUCAAGCAAAAGUGCGAAAAC
rnacentral:lncRNA from 1 species